rnacentral:lncRNA from 1 species
UGAUGUCGUUUUCGUGCCUCUUGGGGACGUCGGAGUCGGCCACCCGUGGGGACAAAGUGAUGAUCAGCCCCUCCACGAAUUUGAUGGCGUGGGUCCGGACGCCGUCGUUAUCCGAGUCCAACAGGAGGAUGAUGUCGCUCGCCAUGGCGGCCACCAUCUCCCAGCACGCCUCCUGCAGCUCGCUGAUGGCCUUCGACUUCACCAUCCACUGCAGGGCCACCUUGUAGAGCUGCGUCAUGGUGAGGAUGGCCUUCUUCACCACGUUGACGUUCUCAUCCUUCAGCAGCAUGUUGAGGUUGGCGAUCAGCUUCAGCAGCAGCUCGAUGUCCC